rnacentral:rRNA from 1 species
UUAUUUCAAUUUUCUUUCACAAUACUAUUACACUAUAAUUAAAAUUAUUUUUUCUUUAUUAAAUACUAAAACAAAUUUUUAUAUAAUUAUUUUUAAUAAUUUAAAUCUAUAAAAAACAUAAAUUAAUAAAUAAAAUUUAAUCAAUUUAUAUUGAUUUGCACAAAAAUUUUUUCAAUGUAAAUGAAAUGCUUUACUUAAUAAGCUUUAAAUUGCAUUCUAGGUACACUUUCCAGUACAUCUACUAUGUUACGACUUAUCUUACCUUAAAAGUAAGAGUGACGGGCGAUGUGUGCAUAUUUUAGAGCUAAAAUCAAAUUAUUAAUCUAUAUAAUUUUACUGUCAAAUCCACUUUCAAUAAAUAUUUCAAAUUUAUAUUCAUAUAAAUAAAUUUAUUGUAACCCAUUUUUACUUAAACAUAAGCUACACCUUGAUCUGAUAUACUUUUCUUUCAAAAAUUAUGAAAAUUAACAUUCUUAUAAAAUAUUCUAAUAACGACGGUAUAUAAACUGAUUACAAGUUUAAGUAAGGUCCAUCGCGGAUUAUCGAUUAUAAAACAGGUUCCUCUGAAUAGACUAAAAUACCGCCAAAUUUUUUAAGUUUCAAGAACAUAACUA